rnacentral:rRNA from 1 species
GAAUAGGGUUUUCGGUUUCUAUUAUGGUGGUCUUCGGAAUUCGGAGGUAAUGGAUUUAAGAGGGACAGACGGGGGCUUUCGUAUUGCGGCGCUAGAGGUGAAAUUCUUGGACCGUCGCAAGAGGAACUAAAGGGAAAGCAUUUGCCAAGAAUGUUUUCAUUAAUCAAGAGCGAAAGUUAGGGGUUGGAAGGCGAUCAGAUACCGCCCUAGUUCUAACCAUAAAGGAUGCCAACCAGUAAUCCGUCUGAGUUCCUUAAAUGACUCGACGGGCGACUUCCGGGAAACCAAAGUUUUUCGGUUCCGGGGGAAGUAUGGUUGCAAAGCUGAAACUUAAAGAAAUUGACGGAAGGGCACCACCAGGAGUGGAGCCUGCGUCGUAGUUUGAUACAGACACGGGAAAACUCUGCCGGCCCGAACACUGGAAGGAUGGACAGAUUGAGAGCUCUUUCCUGAUUCAGUGAGUGUUGGUGCAUGCCCGUUAGUAGUUGUUGGAGCUAUUUGUAUGGUUAAUUCCGAUAGCGAUCGAGACUCUAGCCUAGUAAAUAGAUGGUCGGCUUACAUACGCCGAUGAGAUUUCUUAGAGGGACAGGCGGCGAGUCAGCCGCACGAAACAGAGCAAUAACAGGUCUGUGAUGCCCUUAGAUGUCCGGGGCGGCAGGCGUGUUACAUUGAAGUGAUCAGCGGGCAUUCUCAGCUUACUAUGCCAGGUGUGGAUAACCCAAUGAACCUUGUUUGUGAUUGGGAUAGGGGAUGUAUAUAUUCCCCUAAACGAG